UUUUUGUGUAAAAUUAAUUUUAGUAGUAGUAGAGAUCUUGAAAUUAAAAGAAUUUGGCGGUAAUAAAGUCAUAUUAGAGGAACCUGUUUUAUGAAAUUGAUAAUCCGCAAAUAUCUUACCAGGCUUAGUAAAUCAGUUUAUAUAUCGCUGUUGUAAGAUGAGUUUUAAGAAUAUUUUCUUGAUAAUUAUUAGAAAAUCAGGUCAAGGUGUAGUUUAUGGUUUGGAUGAAGUGGGUUACAAUAUAAGAAUAUGAACGGAAAUGAUAGUGGAAUUAGGAAUUGAAGGAGGAUUUAAUUGUAAUUUUUUAAUAUUAUGUUAAAAUGAAUAGGAACUAUAUUAUGU
rnacentral:rRNA from 1 species